UGGGGAAUAUUGCACAAUGGGCGCAAGCCUGAUGCAGCCAUGCCGCGUGUGUGAAGAAGGCCUUCGGUUGUAAAGCACUUUCAGCGAGGAGGAAGGUGGUGAGCUUAAUACGCUCAUCAAUUGACGUUACUCGCAGAAGAAGCACCGGCUAACUCCGUGCCAGCAGCCGCGGUAAUACGGAGGGUGCAAGCGUUAAUCGGAAUUACUGGGCGUAAAAGCGCACGCAGGCGGUUUGUUAAGUCAGAUGUGAAAAUCCCCGGGCUCAACCUGGGAACUGCAUUUGAAAACUGGCAAGCUAGAGUCUCGUAGAGGGGGUAGAAUUCCAGGUGUAGCGGUGAAAAUGCGUAGAGAUCUGGAGGAAUACCGGUGGCGAAAGGCGGCCCCCUGGACGAAGACUGACGCUCAGGUGCGAAAAGCGUGGGGAGCAAAACAGGAUUAGAUACCCCUGGUAGUCCACGCUGUAAAACGAUGUCGAUUUUGGAGGUUGUGCCCUUGAGGCGUGGCUUCCGGAGCUAAACG
rnacentral:rRNA from 1 species